ensembl:lncRNA
ACCCAAUUUAAUAAAAACUUCAUUUUCAACUUUUUUGAUUGUGUCCUUCGAACUUUUUUUUCCGAGUCACCUUUCUGGCAUGUGCUUAUUAUGAAUAUAUUCAUAGGCUGCCAUCUUGGCCGACCACCUUCCCUGAAGAAAUCUUACAUUUUCAAUAUUAAUUGGAUUAACCUGGAUAGGAAUAGGUGACCUAAAACAAUAAGAAAAAAGCACUGCUCGUGGCUUUCCUCCCAGUUGUCAACAUUCAGGUGGCAGUGCCUCAUUAUCUCGUUCCAAAAGGUUCAUCCCGGGUCCACGAGUGCCAGUAAUGCCUUUUAAAAGCUAAAAAGAAAGGAAUUAAACAUAAGGCAUGUCAUUUCUAAGCCAUUGCACUCUCCUUAUCAGCAGUCUCCACCUUUCCUUUGCUCUUGAAGGAAAAGCGAAGCUUGGCUGGUUGACCGAUGCACCGUUAACUUUGAUGCGCGUCUGUAGAUAUUUUAAAAAGGGGGUUGGUGAUGUCGCAGGGCUUCGUUCGGUUAAUCGUCUGCCACAAGGUGACUGUGUCUACAUUUAACAUAUUGCUCAGUCGACCCACAGGGGUGCGAUCUGUGGUUACAGGGCUGGAAGCACCACCAGUUUCUUUUAAAAGGUGCUACGCUACUGCAUGUUAUUUGUUUGUUUUUGGAACCAAACGAACCAGAGGCUUUUUCAGCAGAGCGCCGACCUUUCGGCCGAUACCAGGUCCGUUGUGCCGAGGGGCCAAAACAAUGUGGAGUUUCUCACUUUCUAAUUCUCAGCUGUGACUCUGUGUGAACAUGAACGGUGUGAUGAAUUGCAUUUCUAAAAUGCCUGAUGAUAUUAUUAAUUCAUUAUAUUGUUGAUGUUAACGUGUCUUAACAUCUAACGCUCUGUCGGGACCUUUCUACACGUAAAAGGAUCCCCGUCCACACCGUUGCAUCACCGGAUACCGGUGUUACGCUCAAGGCGACGUCAGCAUCCAACAGCAGGGGGGAGGACAGCACAAUAGUCGUAUUGUCCCGCCACAAGGGAGGGAAUCAGUGUCACAAGAACAUUGUAGAAUCCAACUCUGUCAAUUGUUUCUAAAAGAACAUCUGUGCACGUGGAGGCGCCAUUACUUAUUGGCACCUUUAAGUUAACUAAUCCCCAGAUGUUGACAGGUGAAAAUCACUUUCUAUAGUGACUUCACAGCCACAUGGUCUGGAAGCACUGACGCCGACUCAUCUCACAUCUCAACACACAGGCGGCGUCUACAUGCAUUUAUAAAUAGGCAACCUGUCAUUCUGGUUCCAAUACAAAUUGGCCGCGGAGGCUGACACGUGUCCUGUGCGUCUCCGCUAACGCCAUGCCAGAAAUAGCCGCGUAUCCAUUAAUUUCAGCAUUAAGACGAGGUGAGAAACACAACUUGUUAAAAUCACAUUUACAGUUGGAGUUCUGUAAUUAUAUAAGAUUCGCACACAUGCAAAGUAAGGGUUAUUUUAGGAAGGACUGAAUGUUCGCCGCUUUUAAGCACCCAAAGUUGCAACCAGUUUGAAAUGUGAGUUAGAACAGAGGCCUAAACUCUCCAUCAGAAGACCGGCUCGCUGUAAUAUCCACCAGGCAGGUGCUUGUGAUAAAUUGUUAUCUUAAUAGGACUUAAUAGGCUCAUACAAAAGGGCAGAGAGUAUAGUCGAAGAUCCGAUACCACGAGUGCAACGAAGGACCCAAAACCCUGACCUGUGAUCCGAAGUGUAAAUGUAGAAUAGGAAUGUUUACAGCCUGCAGAUUUAAAUCUUCUGAAGUGGGAGGUUGAGACGUCUUUCAUAUGCAGAUAGAGGACCAGGAUGUCUGGAGGAUGCCGCCCACAUUCGACGCUGCUGAUGUUGUUGAUUCAAAGGGGGGGGGGGGGGGGG